rnacentral:rRNA from 1 species
UCUGGUUGAUCCUGGCGGAGGCCACUGCUAUCGGAGUUCGAUUAAGCCAUGCGAGUCGAGAGGUGAAAGACCUCGGCAUACUGCUCAGUAACACGUGGACAAUCUAACCUACGGAGGGGGAUAACCCCGGGAAACUGGGGAUAAUACCCCAUAGACUAUGGAUGCUGGAAUGCUUUGUAGUCGAAAGGUCCGCCGCCGUAGGAUGGGUCUGCGGCCGAUUAGGUUGUUGUUGGGGUAACGGCCCAACAAGCCUGUAAUCGGUACGGGUUGUGGGAGCAAGAGCCCGGAGAUGGAUUCUGAGACACGAAUCCAGGCCCUACGGGGCGCAGCAGGCGCGAAAACUUUACAAUGCGGGAAACCGUGAUAGGGGAACUCCGAGUGCCCGUUAAAUCGGGCUGUCCAUCUGUUUAAAUAACAGGUGAAGAAAGGGUCGGGCAAGACCGGUGCCAGCCGCCGCGGUAAUACCGGCGGCUCGAGUGGUGGCCACUAUUACUGGGCUUAAAGCGUUCGUAGCUGGUUUGUUAAGUCUCUGGGGAAAUCUUCCGGCUUAACCGGAAGGCGUCUCAGGGAUACUGGCAGACUAGGGACCGGGAGAGGUGAGGGGUACUCCAGGGGUAGGAGUGAAAUCCUGUAAUCCUUGGGGGACCACCUGUGGCGAAGGCGCCUCACCAGAACGGCUCCGACAGUGAGGGACGAAAGCUGGGGGAGCAAACCGGAUUAGAUACCCGGGUAGUCCCAGCUGUAAACGAUGCGCGUUAGGUGUAUCGGUGACCACGAGUCACCGAGGUGCCGAAGAGAAAUCGUGAAACGUGCCGCCUGGGAAGUACGGUCGCAAGGCUGAAACUUAAAGGAAUUGGCGGGGGAGCACCACAACGGGUGGAGCCUGCGGUUUAAUCGGACUCAACGCCGGGAAACUCACCAGUUAAGACAGCUGAAUGAUAGUCGGGCUGAAGACUCUACUUGACUAGCUGAGAGGAGGUGCAUGGCCGUCGUCAGUUCGUACUGUGAAGCAUCCUGUUAAGUCAGGCAACGAGCGAGACCCA